rnacentral:rRNA from 1 species
UACGGAGGGCGCAAGCGUUGUUCGGAAUCACUGGGCGUAAAGCGCGUAGGCGGCUUACCAAGUUGGGGGUGAAAUCCCGGAGCUCAACUCCGGAACUGCCUUCAAAACUGGUAGGCUCGAGUCCGGAAGAGGGGCGUGGAAUUCCCAGUGUAGAGGUGAAAUUCGUAGAUAUUGGGAAGAACACCGGUGGCGAAGGCGGCGCCCUGGUCCGGUACUGACGCUGAGGCGCGAAAGCGUGGGGAGCAAACAGG